rnacentral:rRNA from 1 species
UGCAGUCGAACGGUAACAGCACUUCGGUGGCUGACGAGUGGCGAACGGGUGAGUAAUACAUCGGAACGUGCCCGAGAGUGGGGGAUAACGCAGCGAAAGCUGUGCUAAUACCGCAUACGAUCUACGGAUGAAAGCAGGGGACCGCAAGGCCUUGCGCUCAUGGAGCGGCCGAUGGCAGAUUAGGUAGUUGGUGGGAUAAAAGCUUACCAAGCCGACGAUCUGUAGCUGGUCUGAGAGGACGACCAGCCACACUGGGACUGAGACACGGCCCAGACUCCUACGGGAGGCAGCAGUGGGGAAUUUUGGACAAUGGGCGAAAGCCUGAUCCAGCCAUGCCGCGUGCAGGAUGAAGGCCUUCGGGUUGUAAACUGCUUUUGUACGGAACGAAAAGGUCUUUUCUAAUAAAGAAGGCUCAUGACGGUACCGUAAGAAUAAGCACCGGCUAACUACGUGCCAGCAGCCGCGGUAAUACGUAGGGUGCAAGCGUUAAUCGGAAUUACUGGGCGUAAAGCGUGCGCAGGCGGUUAUAUAAGACAGAUGUGAAAUCCCCGGGCUCAACCUGGGAACUGCAUUUAGUGACUGUAUAGCUAGAGUGCGGCAGAGGGGGAUGGAAUUCCGCGUGUAGCAGUGAAAUGCGUA